rnacentral:rRNA from 1 species
UACAGAGGUGGCAAGCGUUGUUCGGAAUUACUGGGCGUAAAGGGCGCGUAGGCGGCCUCCUAAGUCGGACGUGAAAGCCCCAGGCUUAACCUGGGAACUGCGUCUGAUACUGGGAGGCUUGGAUUCGGGAGAGGGAUGUGGAAUUCCAGGUGUAGCGGUGAAAUGCGUAGAUAUCUGGAGGAACACCGGUGGCGAAGGCGGCAUCCUGGACCGAGAUCGACGCUGAGGCGCGAAAGCUAGGGGAGCAAACAGG